GACGAACGCUGGCGGCGUGCUUAACACAUGCAAGUCGAACGCUGAAGCUUGGUGCUUGCACUGGGUGGAUGAGUGGCGAACGGGUGAGUAAUACGUGAGUAACCUGCCCUUGACUCUGGGAUAAGCCUGGGAAACUGGGUCUAAUACUGGAUACGACAUGUCACCGCAUGGUGGUGUGUGGAAAGGGUUUUACUGGUUUUGGAUGGGCUCACGGCCUAUCAGCUUGUUGGUGGGGUAAUGGCUCACCAAGGCGACGACGGGUAGCCGGCCUGAGAGGGUGACCGGCCACACUGGGACUGAGACACGGCCCAGACUCCUACGGGAGGCAGCAGUGGAGAAUAUUGCACAAUGGGCGGAAGCCUGAUGCAGCGACGCCGCGUGAGGGAUGACGGCCUUCGGGUUGUAAACCUCUUUCAGCACGGAAGAAGCGAAAGUGACGGUACGUGCAGAAGAAGCGCCGGCUAACUACGUG
rnacentral:rRNA from 1 species